GCGGAACACGAGAAAUUCCGUCGGAAUCCGCGGGGACCAUCCCGCAAGGCUAAAUACUCCCUAGUGACCGAUAGUGAACCAGUACCGUGAGGGAAAGGUGAAAAGCACCCCGGAAGGGGAGUGAAAUAGAUCCUGAAACCGUGUGCCUACAACAAGUCAAAGCUCGUUAAUGAGUGAUGGCGUGCCUUUUGUAGAAUGAACCGGCGAGUUACGAUUGCAUGCGAGGUUAAGUCGAAGAGACGGAGCCGCAGCGAAAGCGAGUCUGAAUAGGGCGAAUGAGUAUGUAGUCGUAGACCCGAAACCAUGUGAUCUACCCAUGUCCAGGUUGAAGGUGCGGUAAAACGCACUGGAGGACCGAACCCACGUACGUUGAAAAGUGCGGGGAUGAGGUGUGGGUAGCGGAGAAAUUCCAAACGAACUUGGAGAUAGCUGGUUCUCUCCGAAAUAGCUUUAGGGCUAGCCUCGGAAUUGAGAAUGAUGGAGGUAGAGCACUGUUUGGACUAGGGGCCCAUCUCGGGUUACCGAAUUCAGAUAAACUCCGAAUGCCAUUCAUUUAUAUCCGGGAGUCAGACUGCGAGUGAUAAGAUCCGUAGUCGAAAGGGAAACAGCCCAGACCACCAGCUAAGGUCCCAAAAUAUAUGUUAAGUGGAAAAGGAUGUGGGGUUGCACAGACAACUAGGAUGUUGGCUUAGAAGCAGCCACCAUUUAAAGAGUGCGUAAUAGCUCACUAGUCGAGUGACCCUGCGCCGAAAAUGUACCGGGGCUAAACAUAUUACCGAAGCUGUGGACUACACCAUUAGGUGUAGUGGUAGGAGAGCGUUCUAAGGGCGUUGAAGGUCGAUCGUGAGGACGGCUGGAGCGCUUAGAAGUGAGAAUGCCGGUAUGAGUAGCGAAAGACAGGUGAGAAUCCUGUCCACCGUAUGACUAAGGUUUCCUGGGGAAGGCUCGUCCGCCCAGGGUUAGUCGGGACCUAAGCCGAGGCCGAUAGGCGUAGGCGAUGGACAACAGGUUGAUAUUCCU
rnacentral:rRNA from 1 species